GGAUGUGAGGGCGAUCUGGCUGUGACAUCUGUCACCUCAUUCAUCGCCAGGGUUGAUUCGGCUGAUCUGGCUGGCUAGGCGGGUGUCCCCUUCCUCCCUCACCGCUCCAUGUGCGUCCCUCCUGAAGGUGCGCACUCGGUCGAAGAGGACAGCCUUCCCCGAAUAGAGACGGACCAGUCUUCAGUAUACGAGUAGCUGCGCUCCCCUGCUAGAACCUCCAAACAAGCUCUCAAGAAUGGUAGAGAAUGUUCCAUUCUCUGAAGGGGGCUUGGAUAACAUACUCUAUAUACCACCUGAAGAAAAUGGGUCCUGA
ensembl:misc_RNA 7SK 7SK RNA